AACAUCCCACCCACUCCUUGUCCCCAGAGGACAUUCUGGUUUCAAAUGCUGGCAAUCCAUAUGAAAUAGCAUCUCCGAACAGCUUGUUUUCAUGAAGAAAAGCCACCUGGCCUCCCUGGGGGUAAUGGCAAUGGAAUAAUUCAGGAAAAGAAAAACAGCAACUCCACUGACAGAGAUGAGGGUCGUUUCCUCUUUCCUGCCAGGCUCCAUGGCUGGAAGCACAGCCCUUACCCACCACAUGAGCUUUGUGCAAGUCUAGUGAAAUCAUUGGGAUUGCCCAGAUGCAACCACAGUGAAGACCCUGAAUUUCAGCACUGGGGCUACAAAGCAGGAUGGAGAAGAAAGAAAAUCUAUAGUUGUACUCCCCAAGUCCAAGCUGAGCUGGCAUAGCUGAUGGUUAGAACACCUGUUUGGAGGAAGUGUCAUCUUGAGGGAAAAUAUCAAUUAAUAACUGAAAUACUUGUGAUCUGAGCAAAGUGGCUGUGGUUUAAUUCCCAGAGAAGCAUAGAACUGUUUUCAAAAACUGCCUGGUGCUGUCCAAGUGCAGGGUACUUCCAGGUUUCCACAGCCCAGAGGCCCAUCCACCUGAAGAUGCA